rnacentral:rRNA from 1 species
AACUUGGGGUUGGUUGUCGCUGGCUGUCUUUGGCAGCAUGUGCACGCCUUCUCCUUUCAUCCACACACCCCUGUGCACCUGUGAGACUGGAGGCCGAAUUUCCUUUUAACUAGGGAAAGAGAGAGAGGUCGCCUCCGUCUAUAAAUUCAUAUACAAACUCAUUUAAUUGAACUGAAUGUACUUGAUGUAACGCAUCAUUAAACUAAGUUUCAACAACGGAUCUCUUGGCUCUCGCAUCGAUGAAGAACGCAGCGAAAUGCGAUAAGUAAUGUGAAUUGCAGAAUUCAGUGAAUCAUCGAAUCUUUGAACGCACCUUGCGCUCCUUGGUAUUCCUUGGAGCAUGCCUGUUUGAGUAUCAUGAAAUUCUCAAAGUAAACCUUUUGUUAAUUCAAUUGGCCUUGCUUUGGAUUUGGAGGUGUUAAUUCAAUUGGCCUUGCUUUGGAUUUGGAGGUGCUGGAUCUCAGUAUACACUUGGUUCCACUCGGCGUGAUAAGUAUCACUCGCUGAGGACACUGUAAAAGGUGGCCAGGCAAUGCAGAUGAACCGCUUCUAAUAGUCCAUUCACUUGGACAAUUACAUUUAUGAUCUGAUCUCAAAUCAGGUAGGACUACCCGCUGAACUUAA